AAGUCGUAACAAGGUUUCCGUAGGUGAACCUGCGGAAGGAUCAUUAUUGAGUUUUGAAACGGGUUGUAGCUGACCUCUCACGAGGUAAAUGUGCACGCCUGGCUCAUCCACUCUCAACCUCUGUGCACUUUUUGUAGAGAGACUUUGGUAGGAUGAAGGCCUUCGCAAGAAGGUUUUCUGACGACCUCCUCUCUAUGUUUUUACCACAAACGCUUCAGUUUAAAGAAUGUAUCAAUGUGUAUAACACAAUUUAUAUACAACUUUUAACAACGGAUCUCUUGGCUCUC
rnacentral:misc_RNA from 1 species